AAUAUUUUUGAACUGUGGUUGACUGUGGGUAACUGAAACCAAGGAAAGUGAAACUGGGGAUAAGCAAGGUACUGUAGUUUUCUUUGAUCAGCACCUGAAAGAUACUGUGCCACUUCUUCUGAUCCCCAUGGUUUCUGAUGAGAAAUCUGCUGUUUUUCUCCUGUAGUCCUAUUUUGUAACGGAUUAUGAUCCAACCAUUGAAGAUUCUUACACAAAGCAGUGUGUGAUAGAUGACAGAGCAGCCCGGCUAGAUAUUUUGGAUACAGCAGGACAAGAAGAGUUUGGAGCCAUGAGAGAACAGUAUAUGAGGACUGGCGAAGGCUUCCUGUUGGUCUUUUCAGUCACAGAUAGAGGCAGUUUUGAAGAAAUCUAUAAGUUUCAAAGACAGAUUCUCAGAGUAAAGGAUCGUGAUGAGUUCCCAAUGAUUUUAAUUGGUAAUAAAGCAGAUCUGGAUCAUCAAAGACAGGUAACACAGGAAGAAGGACAACAGUUAGCAC
rnacentral:lncRNA from 1 species